GUGCCAGCCGCCGCGGUAAUACGGAGGGAGCUAGCGUUGUUCGGAAUUACUGGGCGUAAAGCGCACGUAGGCGGCUUUUUAAGUCAGGGGUGAAAUCCCGGGGCUCAACCCCGGAACUGCCCUUGAAACUGCAGAGCUAGAAUCCUGGAGAGGUGAGUGGAAUUCCGAGUGUAGAGGUGAAAUUCGUAGAUAUUCGGAAGAACACCAGUGGCGAAGGCGACUCACUGGACAGGUAUUGACGCUGAGGUGCGAAAGCGUGGGGAGCAAACAGGAUUAGAAACCCUGGUAGUCC
rnacentral:rRNA from 1 species